UUGCAGGGGCCUCAGUGAAACUGCUAGGCAAAACAAAAGCGAUGCCUAUGCCGCAAUGAUGGUGCUGGAGAGAUAUUUUUCCAUGUCAGGCGAGGGAACUGAACUUGUACUGCCCAAGAAUGUGGAUCUACAAGAGAGACUUCGAAGGGGGCCUGCCAGGGACAUCGAUUUUUUCCCUGAAGAAUGAGGACUGACUAACAAUUUUCUGUGCGAGAAGAAACAAACUGUGAAUUACUUGGGACAAGUCGAUUAUGUUGAGCGAACGAGUGGAAAAAAGUUAUCAAAUUGUAGGAUUAAAACCUGUGGAAUACAUUGCUAUAUUUGCAUAUGCUUUUGGUCCUUGUGACAUGUCGUACCAGCAGGUUAAGAUAAGCACCAUAGAGGGGAGAUGCAGGAUAAGCUCAUGGAUGAACCAAUUCUGUAUUGGUUUUGUUCCGUGGUAAUUUGAUUUAAAGAAUAAAUAAAAUAAAAUAAAAUAAUAGACUAUUCAUUUUCA